AAAUUGAAGAGUUUGAUCAUGGCUCAGAUUGAACGCUGGCGGCAGGCCUAACACAUGCAAGUCGAACGGUAACAGGAAGCAGCUUGCUGCUUCGCUGACGAGUGGCGGACGGGUGAGUAAUGUCUGGGAAACUGCCUGAUGGAGGGGGAUAACUACUGGAAACGGUAGCUAAUACCGCAUAACGUCGCAAGACCAAAGAGGGGGACCUUCGGGCCUCUUGCCAUCGGAUGUGCCCAGAUGGGAUUAGCUUGUUGGUGGGGUAACGGCUCACCAAGGCGACGAUCCCUAGCUGGUCUGAGAGGAUGACCAGCCACACUGGAACUGAGACACGGUCCAGACUCCUACGGGAGGCAGCAGUGGGGAAUAUUGCACAAUGGGCGCAAGCCUGAUGCAGCCAUGCCGCGUGUAUGAAGAAGGCCUUCGGGUUGUAAAGUACUUUCAGCGGGGAGGAAGGGAGUAAAGUUAAUACCUUUGCUCAUUGACGUUACC
rnacentral:rRNA from 1 species